AUAAAAUAAAAUUGUUGUCAUGAGAUUUUUGUCAUGAAAAUUAAUUAUUCUUACAAUAUCUAAGGUUGUUGGAUAUUUCAAGUGUGAGAGCUCAUUCGUGGAGAGACAGUUGGACGGUACUGUAUAUUAUAUUUUUUAGUGUUUUUAAUUGAUUUGCAUUUUAAAUUGUACCUAAUAUGAGUGUGAAAAUGAAUGUUUCCAUAACGAAUGAUGAACUGACACUUAAUUUCGUCGACUGAUAUGAAAAAGAAGAAAUUUUAUGGGAUACUAAUUUGGAAUCGUACAAAAAUGGAAGUGAGGCUGUAAAAAGAAUAAUUAAAGCAAUUAAUAUUGAAGAUGAUGCUAAAUGAGAAAAAAAGUAGUAAUAUUGAAAAGACUGAUUGUGAAGAUCCAGCUAUGAAUAAGAUGAGUGGAAAUUGUCAAGUACAAUCAAGGAACAGUUCCAAGUACUUCGGCUAAUGGUGAUACUUGUAGUAUAAAAAAAAUAUACGAACAAAAUCAGGGCCGAUUUUGACACCAAUAAAGGACUAAGCCAGUUAAAACAACAUAAACUGUUUGCAUAGAUGCAAUACAUAAAUCCGUUAUUAGAUUUCCGAAGACGCAAUGUUGAAGUUAAACCUGAUAGUGUUGGCCAAAUUUGUGUGUGGUUUAAGUCAGACAAAGUCUUGGAACUAGUCCUCAACAUGCUUAAGUCACUUUCAGAGCUGCAGACCAUUUAUGGUUGGUUCUUAUGGCGACCAGACGAGACAGCACAAUAAAAACUUACAUUUAAAGCAUCCACCGCAACAAGAAUGUAUUUUUACGUAGACGAUGCUGUUUAAGCGUUACUUAGAUUGCAAACAUUUUUGUAACAUAAUCAAAGAAUAUAAAAAGAGAAAAAAUAAAAAAAUCCAACUAGACCGGCCAGUUGACGUGGUAGGAAAAAGAGAAGUUUACUGCAAGAAGUCAAAGAACAAAGGCUGAUUAGUAUGAGUAAAAUGCUGUUGAAAAUGUAUACCAACCC